AAGGUAGCGAAAUUCCUUGUCGGGUAAGUUCCGACCUGCACGAAUGGCGUAAUGAUGGCCACACUGUCUCCUCCAGAGACUCAGCGAAGUUGAAAUGUUUGUGAUGAUGCAAUCUCCCCGCGGAAAGACGGAAAGACCCCAUGAACCUUUACUGUAGCUUUACAUUGGACUUUGAACAGAUCUGUGUAGGAUAGGUGGGAGGCUUUGAAGCCAGGACGCUAGUUCUGGUGGAGCCAACGUUGAAAUACCACCCUGGUGUGUUUGAGGUUCUAACCUUGGCCCGUUAUCCGGGUUGGGGACAGUGUAUGGUGGGCAGUUUGACUGGGGCGGUCUCCUCCCAAAGUGUAACGGAGGAGUUCGAAGGUACGCUAGCCACGGUCGGCGACUUACCAAACCUAUGCAAACUCCGAAUACCGAUGAGUACAGCUUGGGAGACAGAGCACCGGGUGCUAACGUCCGGACUCAAGAGGGAAACAACCCAGACCGCCAGCUAAGGUCCCUAAAAUUGGCUAAGUGGGAAACGAAGUGGGAAGGCUAAAACAGU
rnacentral:rRNA from 1 species